rnacentral:rRNA from 13 species
AGGGAACGUGAGCUGGGUUUAGACCGUCGUGAGACAGGUUAGUUUUACCCUACUGCUGCUCGUUUUUCAACGGUAAUUUGGUUCAGUACGAGAGGAACCACCAAUUCGCACCAUCGGUUCACCCGCCGCCCGAUAGGGCGAUGCGGGGUCGCUGCCAUGCGCCGGAUUACAACUGAACGCCUCUAAGUUGGAAUCCAUGCCGGAAGAGAA